rnacentral:rRNA from 1 species
UACAGAGGUCUCAAGCGUUGUUCGGAUUCAUUGGGCGUAAAGGGCGCGUAGGCGGUCGUGACAAGUCACUUGUGAAAUCUCCGGGCUUAACUCGGAGCGGUCAAGUGAUACUGUCGGACUAGAGUACAGAAGGGGCAACUGGAAUUCUCGGUGUAGCGGUGGAAUGCGCAGAGUAUCAGGAAGAACACCGGUGGCGAAGGCGGCUCUCUGGGCCUUACCUGACGCUGAGGAGCGAAAGCCGUGGGUAGCGAACA